rnacentral:misc_RNA from 1 species
AAGACUAUAGACCUGCGGAGUACCUGCGGAGGGAUCAUCAUUGAAUACAAAAUUUCAAGCUUUGAAGGGGGAGGGGGCUUGCCUCUUUCGCUCUUCAGGCUUGCAAACAACUUUGAUACCCAAAAAGAGUUCUUUCCUGCUUGUCUUUGGUCUUUUUGCAGCUCCAGCUUGUUUAUUUGGGUUGGUUGCUGUGGGAGGCGAAGAGAAGUGGAAAGAGAGGGGGAAACCCCAGAAUAACAC